rnacentral:misc_RNA from 1 species
GAACUGCGAUAAGUAAUGUGAAUUGCAGAAUUCAGUGAAUCAUCGAAUCUUUGAACGCAAAUUGCGCUCUGAGGUUAUUCCUCAGAGCAUACUUGGUUGAGUAUCAUUAAAAUUCCAAUCACUUUAUUACUUUAUUGCAAAUAAUAAAGCGGAUAAUGAGAGUCAAAAGCUGUAAGCUCUUGUCUCUUCAAGAGAAUUUAGUUUUUCCAUACUAAUUUAACAUGGUCAUGUGGUAAAUUGUAAAAUUUUUAAUAACAUGACCCUAAAUUAGUCUAAAAACUAGUUUCGGUAAUUAGAUGUAAGCAUCAUUGAACUAUGAUCUCAACUCAAGUAAGACUACCCGCUGAACUUAA